rnacentral:rRNA from 1 species
UACAGAGGUCUCAAGCGUUGCUCGGAAUCACUGGGCGUAAAGGGUGCGUAGGCGGGUCUUAAGUCAGGGGUGAAAUCCUGGAGCUCAACUCCAGAACUGCCUUUGAUACUGAGGAUCUUGAGUUCGGGAGAGGUGAGUGGAACUGCGAGUGUAGAGGUGAAAUUCGUAGAUAUUCGCAAGAACACCAGUGGCGAAGGCGGCUCACUGGCCCGAUACUGACGCUGAGGCACGAAAGCGUGG